GGGCGGGGCCGUGUCAUUGAUUGACAGCUCCAGCAGAAGACCAGAGAACAUGUUUAUUCCGCUCUGACCUUCAUUAACUUCUGUAAGUUAAUUAGCCAUGUAAUUAUUCUGUCAUGACUUGAUUAGCCGUGUCAGGAGACGGCGUGUACCUGUGCCGUGUUUGACAGCUCCCCACUUGACCCCAGCACUCAGCAAACAGCUUCACAUAUUGUCUACAGCAAACAGCUUCCUGUUGAACUAUGACGUCAUUUGAGCUCGCGAUGCUUGCCUGUGUCACGUGGUCAUGUGUUGCCAUGACAACGUCAGAACCCCUAUUGAUUGUACUGCUUGACGGAUUUAGGUGGGAUUAUGCCGAGAAAUUCAACCUUAAAAGUUUCCAGCGUGUUUUUGACCUUGGGGUACGAGCUGGGUACAUGAAAAGUGACUUCCCGACCCUCUCCUACCCCAACUACUACACGCUAAUGACAGUGCCUCGGUGCGAUAGAAUGUAACAGAACAGGUCCUGUGACGUCAUACAUCUCUAUUGUCAUCGUAAAAUGACGGUUACAUCAGGGGGCGGAUGGUAGAAAAAUAACAUCAGAGAAACCUCAGUAAUCAUGACUAGACAGCAGGACAGAGAACUCUGGAGAGCUUUAUUUGGCGGCCCAUAGUCCAGCAGGACAGAGAACUCUGGAGAGCUUUAUUUGGCGGCCCAUAGUCCAGCAGGACAGAGAACUCUGGCUGUAGUUGGUGGCCCAUACUCCAGCAGGACAGAGAACUCUGGCUGUAGUUGGUGGCCCAUACUCCAGCAGGACAGAGAACUCUGGAGAGAUGUAGUUGGUGGCCCAUAGUCCAGCAGGACAGAGAACUCUGGCUGUAGUUGGUGGCCCAUAGUCCAGCAGGACAGAGAACUCUGGCUGUAGUUGGUGGCCCUUACUCCAGCAGGACAGAGAACUCUGGAGAGCUGUAGUUG